GGGUGUGACUUUUGCACAUGGCAUAGUUACAGGUUAAUUAAUCUUGAAUGGUCGGGCCGCCAUUC
rnacentral:ncRNA from 12 species